rnacentral:rRNA from 1 species
GAUGAACGCUGGCGGCGUGCCUAAUACAUGCAAGUCGAGCGAAGCGGGCACGGGUGAGUAACACGUGGAUAACCUCCUAUAAGACUGGGAUAACUUCGGGAAACCGGAGCUAAACCGGAUACUUAUACAUGCAUCAGCGCUGCAUUAGCUAGUUGGUAAGGAAACGGCUUACCAAGCCAACGAUGCAUAGCCGACCUGAGAGGUGGAUCGGCAACAUGGGACCUGGGACACGGUCCAGACUCCUACGGGAGGCAGCAGUAGGGAAUCUUCCGCAAUGGGCGAAAGCCUGACGGAGAAAGGCCGCGUGAGGGAGGAAGGUCUUCGGAUCGUAAAACUCUGUUAUUAGGGAAGCGGUACCUAAUCAGAAAGCCACGGCUAACUACGUGCCAGCAGCCGCGGUAAUUC